UACGAAGGGGGCUAGCGUUGUUCGGAUUUACUGGGCGUAAAGCGCACGUAGGCGGAUCGUUAAGUCGGGGGUGAAAUCCUGGAGCUCAACUCCAGAACUGCCUUCGAUACUGGCGAUCUUGAGUCCGGAAGAGGUGAGUGGAACUCCUAGUGUAGAGGUGGAAUUCGUAGAUAUUAGGAGGAACACCGGUGGCGAAGGCGGGUCUCUGGGCCGAUACUGACGCUGAGGAGCGAAAGCGUGGGGAGCGAACAGG
rnacentral:rRNA from 1 species